rnacentral:rRNA from 1 species
AUACGGAGGAUCCGAGCGUUAUCCGGAUUUAUUGGGUUUAAAGGGUGCGCAGGCGGCCAUUUAAGUCAGCGGUUAAAUCGUGGGGCUCAACCCCAUUCUGCCGUUGAUACUGGGUGGCUUGAUUGCGGUCGAGGUUGGCGGAAUUCGUUGUGUAGCGGUGAAAUGCAUAGAUAUGACGAAGAACACCGAUUGCGUAGGCAGCUGACCAGACCGCAAAUGACGCUCAUGCACGAAAGUGCGGGGAUCGAACAGGAUUAGAUACCCUGGUAGUCCGCACAGUAAACGAUGAAUACUAAGUGUUGGAUGUCAAAGUUCAGUGCUGCAGUUAACGCAAUAAGUACUCCGCCUGAGUAGUACGUUCGCAAGAAUGAAACUCAAAGGAAUUGGCGGGG